UCAGGACACGAAAAAAAGGUCAGGGAAAGGGAAGCAAACAACUCACACUAUCUGUCAAAAGUGGCUUAUGCUUCACGACUUUAUUUCCCCUUCCAGUCCGUGCACUUUUAGGCGGACUGCCUCACACUUCCCAUUUAUCAGAAUUCACCGUAAAGCUGACCUAUCCCCCCUCGGUCUAUCUCAUAUUGCCAAAAGAGGACGAGGAGGGAAGCGGAUGAGCCACGAAUUUACCUGAGGAUGUGAAACCACAACAAGAAGCUGUCCGCCAGACGCUGGUCCGCCCUGACGAUGAUGAUGUACAGAUAACGACACAUAUCAAAUAUUUUGGGGUACCUGGAAGAAGUGUAACAAAGCGCCAAACCCCAGACCCAACUUCACAGACACAACUCUCAGACAAAGCAGUUCCUUUUCAACCUGGAACCGGGAAUACUUCUGGCACAACAACAUUACCACCAUGAAGCACUUCUGGGUCAGGCGAGACUCCCAUAGAACAGGAGAGACUCCUCCAGGUGGCACCCAAGGACUUCAGCAGGCCCACCCAUCAGGACUGCAGAUACCAUGCUGCCCCACGGGUGCACAAAUGGGAGACCCACCAGAGUUAUAGUGCCAGCCAGCCAGCACACUGGGGGGUUACACAACUCCAGGAGGCAGUCUUCUUCUAUCAUUCCAUUAUGGCAACCUCCACACCCUUUAAAAUAAUGUUAAAAAAAUGUCAAAACACUUUACAGAGAAAAUUAUUUUGAGGCUGCUUGCUCUGAUAUAACUGUAAAAUGAAUGUUAUGGACAGUGUGAAAUUCUUCAAUCUAAAUAAUGUUAAUGAUGGUUGAAUUUUAAUUGUUUUUUAAUAUAUGUGAUGUCACCCAGGGGCCUGCAGCUGCAGGUGUGAAGUGUACACAGUGUGUCAGGUGGUGUUGCAAGGACUGAGGAGCCCAAUGGCAUGGGGUUUCUGCCUCACCUGGAAGUGCUUGCAGACCAAGUAAGCAGAAGCACUUCUGGGGUGGCCCACAUUAAAGGAGCUGCCUGCCUCACCGAGACAAGCCUGAGUUGGGUGGAAGGUAGAUGAAGCUUGAAGGUACGAGUGGAGGAGGCAGUGACCAAGAGAGAAAGGAAGAAAGAAGGAUCAUUAUGUGCUAUUGUACUUCUGCAUACAAGUGGCUGU